rnacentral:lncRNA from 1 species
AUCCUAGUAACUAUUUUUUUAAUCCUGUCUCAGCCUAUACAACCACAAAGGGGCAGAAGAAGGAAUAAAGGCCUAUAUCCCUUAUUUCCCGAAUCUGCAUGUGAUUCUACAAAGCAAGCAUUGAAAUGCCUAACUGUUGGGAGCUCAGCUGGACAGUGGGAUCUUCUCAGGUGUGUGGAGGAAGGUUUGGACAUGAAAGUCACUGCCACGUCUGUGAGAAAGACAGUCCUUGCUGAGCGCUUGUUCCUGUCCCUGUCCUCUGGUUCUAUCCCUGAACUCUCCGGCCUCCUGGAAAUGUCUAAUAUUUGCUUGCCAGCCCGUUUCUGAAGGGGAUAUGCAUGAUUUUGCUACACAUCUGAGAAUUCUGGGUGCCACGUUAAGGAUGGAUCCUCAGGAAUGAGUGUGACCAGACUGAUCUGCAAGAACAGCUGUCAUGACCAUGGAGCGAAUCACUGGACUGUUGCUUUGAAAGGCUAAAGUCAUUUUCUUGCAUUAAAGACAACAACUCUUCUACACACAAUCAUCGUUCUUGCUGUAGUUCUGUUUUUAUACCAGUGUCUUGUAACUGUUUUCUACCUAUUGAGGUGGACACUUUAUUCUCUUAUCUUUAAUAGCAGCACUUCUGUCAAGUGGAAUUGUUUUCACCUACUUCAAGCUCUUAUUCUAUAACACUUCAUAAAUAGCUUUGCUUUAUUGUGGUAAACACUGAUAUUCCAGCCACAUGAUGGAGAAUUCAGUCACAGUCAGCUUUUACUUAGUCUCAAUGGGUAUGAGAUCUUACAUGUAAUACAGGUGUUUCACAGGGUUUCCGGUAUAUACCUAUGAUAUUGCUUUCGAAUAUAUUUAUUUAUUUAUUUACUUAUUUCACCUUUUUCUUCAGAUAAUGAGAGCCCACUUCUGGGUUCUACUUUUAGAAACGUUUGUCUCACAAUCUGAAGGAUGGCUAGUAUUCUAGAAAUAUGCCACUGGGCAUUUGCACUGUGUAUCUACACAUGAGAGGCAGAAUUAAUACUUUCUUCCACCAGGUCACCAUCAUUCCUAAUCCUUCUGUAAUGUCAAG